rnacentral:rRNA from 1 species
GACGAACCGUGCGAACGUUGUUCGGAAUCACUGGGCUUAAAGGGCGCGUAGGCGGCCACUCAAGUCCGGGGUGAAAGCCCCCGGCUCAACCGGGGAAGUGCCUUGGAGACUGGGUUGCUCGAGGGAGGUAGGGGUCGAGGGAACUUCUGGUGGAGCGGUGAAAUGCGUUGAUAUCAGAAGGAACGCCGGUGGCGAAAGCGCUCGACUGGACCUUUUCUGACGCUGAGGCGCGAAAGCUAGGGGAGCAAACGGG